UACAGAGGGGGCAAGCGUUGUUCGGAAUUACUGGCGUAAAGGGCGCGUAGGCGGCCUGCUAAGUCGAACGUGAAAUCCCCGAGCUCAACUCGGGAACUGCGUCCGAUACUGACAGGCUUGAAUCCGGGAGAGGGAUGCGGAAUUCCAGGUGUAGCGGUGAAAUGCGUAGAUAUCUGGAGGAACACCGGUGGCGAAGGCGGCAUCCUGGACCGGUAUUGACGCUGAGGCGCGAAAGCUAGGGGAGCAA
rnacentral:rRNA from 1 species